UGGAUCAGACUUUGAUUCUGGCUCAGGACGAACGCUGGCGGCGCGCCUAACACAUGCAAGUCGAACGAGCGAGAGAGAGCUUGCUUUCUCGAGCGAGUGGCGAACGGGUGAGUAACGCGUGAGGAACCUGCCUCAAAGAGGGGGACAACAGUUGGAAACGACUGCUAAUACCGCAUAAGCCCACGGCUCGGCAUCGAGCAGGGGGAAAAGGAGCAAUCCGCUUUGAGAUGGCCUCGCGUCCGAUUAGCUAGUUGGUGAGGUAAUGGCCCACCAAGGCGGCGAUCGGUAGCCGGACUGAGAGGUUGAACGGCCACAUUGGGACUGAGACACGGCCCAGACUCCUACGGGAGGCAGCAGUGGGGAAUAUUGCACAAUGGGGGAAACCCUGAUGCAGCGACGCCGCGUGGAGGAAGAAGGUCUUCGGAUUGUAAACUCCUGUUGUUGGGGAAGAUAAUGACGGUACCCAACAAGGAAGUGACGGCUAACUACGUGCCAGCAGCCGCGGUAAAACGUAGGUCACAAGCGUUGUCCGGAAUUACUGGGUGUAAAGGGAGCGCAGGCGGGAAGACAAGUUGGAAGUGAAAUCUAUGGGCUCAACCCAUAAACUGCUUUCAAAACUGUUUUUCUUGAGUAGUGCAGAGGUAGGCGGAAUUCCCGGUGUAGCGGUGGAAUGCGUAGAUAUCGGGAGGAACACAGUGGCGAAGGCGGCCUACUGGGCACCAACUGACGCUGAGGCUCGAAAGUGUGGGUAGCAAACAGGAUUAGAUACCCUGGUAGUCCACACCGUAAACGAUGAUUACUAGGUGUUGGAGGAUUGACCCCUUCAGUGCCGCAGUUAACACAAUAAGUAAUCCACCUGGGGAGUACGACCGCAAGGUUGCAACUCAAAGGAAUUGACGGA
rnacentral:rRNA from 2 species